GAACACCCCCCUAUUUCUGAUUGAAAUGAUUUGUUCUGCUUUAGCGUUUGACGGUGUUUAGUAGCAGACAGAAUGAGAGCCACACAAAUAAUAACGAUGCUGCUUUGAAAUAUAAUAAAACUGGUUUUAAAAAAGGAAAGAAGAAAUAAAGCAUGUUAAUCUGUUACAAAGUUGUUCACCUAGAGAGACGAGUCUGAGUCAGCAUCGGUCCUGACCCCCAGACCAGCCUACCUGCUCCCGGGAUGAAGUCGACAUAUGUGGUGCGUUCGAUCUCGACGGGCUGCCCCUGUCGGUCGUACAGCGCCAGAACGAAGUGGAAGAAAUUGGAUUUCCUCAGAUUGGACGGCGGCUGCUUCUCAAACUAAAGCAUCAUGGUGCCACUGGUGACCAGUAAAAAUCCACCAGUUCAGAAAGCGGCUGCCGCAGCGCGGCGUGCAUGAAGCGCUCCUCUGAGGACAGACUGCAGGUCGCCACACCUGGCCGCACGCAUCAGAGACGUGUUUAGGACGCGCGUUGGCGCCUCUGAUUAGUCUGUCUGCGGCCAUGAAAGCGCGGCGCUUCCCGCGGCUUCAGGUCUAGUCAAAGGAAAUAAAGUUAAGAAUCACA